rnacentral:piRNA from 1 species
UAUGGCAAACACUGUGCUUAAGACUCC